GAUGAACGCUGGCGGCGUGCCUAAUACAUGCAAGUCGAGCGAAUGGAUUAAGAGCUUGCUCUUAUGAAGUUAGCGGCGGACGGGUGAGUAACACGUGGGUAACCUGCCCAUAAGACUGGGAUAACUCCGGGAAACCGGGGCUAAUACCGGAUAACAUUUUGAACCGCAUGGUUCGAAAUUGAAAGGCGGCUUCGGCUGUCACUUAUGGAUGGACCCGCGUCGCAUUAGCUAGUUGGUGAGGUAACGGCUCACCAAGGCAACGAUGCGUAGCCGACCUGGGAGGGUGAGCGGCCAGACGGGGACUUAGACACGGCCCAGACUCCUACGGGAGGCAGCAGUAGGGAAUCUUCCGCAAUGGACGAAAGUCUGACGGAGCAACGCCGCGUGAGUGAUGAAGGCUUUCGGGUCGUAAAACUCUGUUGUUAGGGAAGAACAAGUGCUAGUUGAAUAAGCUGGCGCCUUGACGGUACCUAACCAGAAAGCCACGGCUAACUACGUGCCAGCAGCCGCCGUAA
rnacentral:rRNA from 1 species